rnacentral:rRNA from 1 species
UACGUAGGUCCCGAGCGUUGUCCGGAUUUAUUGGGCGUAAAGCGAGCGCAGGUGGUUUAUUAAGUCUGGUGUAAAAGGCAGUGGCUCAACCAUUGUAUGUAUUGGAAACUGGUAGACUUGAGUGCAGGAGAGGAGAGUGGAAUUCCAUGUGUAGCGGUGAAAUGCGUAGAUAUAUGGAGGAACACCGGUGGCGAAAGCGGCUCUCUGGCCUGUAACUGACACUGAGGCUCGAAAGCGUGGGGAGCAAACAGG